GGCUGUGUGGUGAAGUGGUAUGAUUCUCGCUUAGGGUGCGAGAGGUCCCAAGUUCAAUUCUCGGCACAGCCC